AUUGAACGCUGGCGGCAGGCUUAACACAUGCAAGUCGAGCGGGGUGAUGGUGCUUGCACUAUCACUUAGCGGCGGACGGGUGAGUAAUGCUUAGGAAUCUGCCUAUUAGUGGGGGACAACAUCUCGAAAGGGAUGCUAAUACCGCAUACGUCCUACGGGAGAAAGCAGGGGAUCACUUGUGUCCUUGCGCUAAUAGAUGAGCCUAAGUCGGGUUAGCCAGUUGGUGGGGUAAAGGCCUACCAAGGCGACGAUCUGUGGCGGGUCUGAGAGGAUGAUCCGCCACACUGGGACUGAGACACGGCCCAGACUCCUACGGGAGGCAGCAGUGGGGAAUAUUGGACAAUGGGGGGAACCCUGAUCCAGCCAUGCCGCGUGUGUGAAGAAGGCCUUAUGGUUGUAAAGCACUUUAAGCGAGGAGGAGGCUCUUUUGGCUAAUACCCAAGAUGAGUGGACGUUGCUCGCAGAAUAAGCACCGGCUAACUCUGUGCCAGCCGCCGCAGUAA
rnacentral:rRNA from 1 species